rnacentral:rRNA from 1 species
CCUACGGGAGGCAGCAGUAGGGAAUCUUCCACAAUGGGCGAAAGCCUGAUGCAGCAACGCCGCGUGGGUGAAGAAGGUCUUCGGAUCGUAAAACCCUGUUGUCAGAGAAGAAAGUGCGUGAGAGUAACUGUGAACGCUUCGACGGUAUCUUACCAGAAAGCCACGGCUAACUACGGGCCAGCAGCCGCGGGAAUACGUAGGUGGCAAGCGAUAGCCGGAUGUAUGGGGCGUAAAGGGAACGCAGGCGGUCUUUUAAGCCUGAUGUGAACGCCUUCGGCUUAACCGGGGUGGUGCAUUGGAAACUGGGAGACGUGAGUGCAGGAGAGGAGAGUGGAACUCCAUGGGUAGCGGGGAAAUGCGUAGAUAUAAGGAAGAACACCAGUGGCGAAGGCGGCUCUCUGG